GGGCCGUUAGCUCAAUGGUAGAGCAGCUGACUCUUAAUCAGGAGGUUGAAGGUUCGAGUCCUUCACGGCCCACCA
rnacentral:tRNA from 1 species